rnacentral:rRNA from 1 species
CCCUUAGAUGUUCUGGGCCGCACGCGCGCUACACUGAUGCAUUCAACGAGCCUAUCCUUGACCGACAGGUCCGGGUAAUCUUUGAAUCUGCAUCGUGACGGGGAUAGAUUAUUGCAAUUAUUAAUCUUCAACGAGGAAUGCCUAGUAAGCGCAGGUCAUCAGCCUGCGUUGAUUAAGUCCCUGCCCUUUGUACACACCGCCCGUCGCUCCUACCGAUUUCGAGUGGUCCGGUGAACCUUUCGGACCGGGAGCAGCCUCGUGCUGCGCCUGGAAAGUCAAGUAAACCACAUCACUUAGAGGAAGGAGAAGUCGUAACA